AGCUGGUCUGAAGGUAGUGAGUUAACUCAAUUGAUGGUUUUAGUUACAGAUCAAACUCCUUGUUCCAUAUUUCCCCACUUCUCUCUACUGCACUUCACUAGUCUUAA
ensembl:Y_RNA Y_RNA Y RNA